AAUAAACGGCCGAAACACACGCGCACACACACUGCGCCACUGUGCACAUACUCAAAGAGUGAGCGAGAGAGCGAGAGAGCGAGAGGGAGGGAGCGUGCAAAGUAACAGGUUAGCAGACAGACAAACAUACAAGCGUGCUCGCAGACACACCGUGCGCCAGCAGAGGCACAGAAACCCCUUCUCACAGACUUGCCCCUUCGGAGCUUUUUUUUGUUUCGGAAAGCCCCCCCCCCCCCCCCCCCCCCGCCCUCACACACACUCACACACAAACAUCCAAAUCAACCGCAUGCAGAGUUUACUGGCACUGUAGCCAACAUUACUGAGGUUACUCCUUCGCAUUGCCUUGGCUGUUUGUUUGUUUUUUCUCCUGCACAGUGCUCUACCAUACAUUAUAGAGAAGAUCAGCUCAUAUAUAUAUAUAUAUAUAUAGCACUAGUUUCUUCCUUGCUGACUGAGUGGUUGCACCUGCGGAUGAUUUGUCGGCCUUCCUAUUGUUAUUAUUUUCCCUUCUGUUUUGCUCCGUUCCGGGCUGUUAUUGUGCUGCGUCUUCUCUAUCUGUGCUUCUUGUCCUGCAAGUGUGUUUGCGCGUCUUCUUCACUGCCCUGCUCAUAUUACUCUCCUCUGUUUUUGUCUUUGCUCUUCAUCUGCUCCUGCCUUGUAGCUCAAGUUGAGAAGCGCGUCGUUGUGCCUUGUUGCUGACGCGUGUGCCGGCGUAGACUGCUUGCACCUGCACUUAACGCUGCGCAUGCCAGCGCCGCAUCGAAAAGCGGCGGUUCACACGGAAGAGAAAGGAGGUAGGGAGGGUGGAAGCGCGGCUUUUGUGGCAGAGUUUGCUGUCUAUUGCAAUCAAAGCAGCCCCAAUCACCUACCACACAUAGACGCUGGUGCGAUCACGUGAUGCUCGGCACAGUCGAUGCGAUCGACUACGAUGGGGACCGCCUGCACAAGGUGGUGCUGCGAUUCCCUGCUGUGCGUAGCGGCGAGUCGGAGAUCGUGAAGGAGGUGUGGCCGUGCGAGCGCAUUGGCCAGGGCUCCUUCGGCACGGUGUACCGCGCCGUCAGCAGCGACUAUCCACGCCUGGCCCUUAAAAUUUCAACAGGCAAGAGUACGCGGCUUCGCCAGGAGCUAGAUGUGCUGAGUCGCGUGUGUACGAAAGGGCGGCUCCUGCUUCCGCGUUUCGAGUUUGGGGCGCUCAACAAGACAGCGGACUUGAUCGUGAUCGGCAUGGAGCUGUGUGUUCCGAGCACGCUACACGACCUUCUCCUCAGCACUCGUAUCACCAGCGAAGCGGAGAUGCUUUUCAUGGCGCAUCAGGCGGUUCAAGCCGUCUCGUACGUGCACGCAGAGGGUUGCAUCCACCGCGACAUCAAGCUGCAGAACUUUGUCUUCGACCUCGAUGGUAACCUGAAGCUGAUUGACUUUGGCCUGGCUUGUAACUCGCUCAAGCCACCGGCAGGCGACGUGGUGGCGGGCACUGUGUCUUUCAUGUCUCCGGAGAUGGCGCACAACGCCCUUCACAAGGACAGGCGCGUGAGCGUCGGCGUGGCUGCUGAUGUAUGGUCGCUGGGGAUUGUCCUCUUUUCUAUUUUCACGCAGCGGAACCCGUAUCCGGCGCCGGAGACGCCGGCGCCGGCAGCGGGCAGCGCCCCCGGUGGCGCGGGUGCAGCGGGCGUGACCGGACGUGGAGACAUCACGCAUGGCGCGGAGGGCGAGAAGGGCAACGACUUGAGUCAGCAGCACCGCAUGAAUGAGCGCCUGCUGCGCCGCGUGGCGGCCGGGGACUGGCAGUGGCCUGUCGGCGUUACAGUGUCACAGGACCUGAAGCAACUUGUAAACUCCAUCCUCGUCGUCAACCCCGAGGAGCGGCCGAGCGUGAGCACGAUCCUGGAGAACAAGUUGUGGAACUUACGGCGGCGCUAUCCACCUGCAGCUGUGGCGGCAUUUCUCGGCGUGCAGGAUGACUUCCUGCUGUCUCACGAUGAGGCGCACCUGAUGCGUGCGGUCGAGGAGCGUAGUGCCGGCGUGGCAGCGUCGUUGCGGAACAGUCGCCUACACAGCCCCGCCUCGGCCUCCAACGAGGACAAUGGCGAGACCGACGCGCAGCACAGCAGCAGCGGCAGCGCGCGCAACGGUGGCCUAAACACAUCUGGCGCCACUACAUCUCCAGCGCGCAGCUCUCUCAAGGUGGUGCAGCGCUGCGGCGAGGGCGGCAUUGAUGGGGCGGUCACAGUGCAGGUAUACGACGUGCGCGCCAGCACCCGCAAGCGCAGCAAGCCCAUCCGCGAGAUAUCCGUCGUCAUGGCGGAGGAGACUGCCAAGACGCGACGAUCCAAGUCCGCCCGACGGGCAACGGGCGCCGUGUCGGCUCCCUCGUCGCGCGUCGUCUCACGAGCAGCGUCGACGGAGUACAGCAGGCGAAUAGCUCCUCCGGCUGGCGCGAGGUUGCAGUCUAGUGCGGCGCAUACGUGUGCCAACAGCGGCGACGAUGAGGGUGAGGCGGAGGCGGAGGCGGAGGCGGUGAACCGUGGCACCAGCACGUCGCAGCGCCACAGCCGCGGUAUGUCGCCUGUGCGUCUGCAGGAUGCUCUGGAGACCGCCGGCUCAGUAGCAGCCGGGCAGAGGGACAGCGUAGGCCACCCCAAGGCAUUGGUGGAGCCGUCCUGUGCCACGCCACCUCUGCUCACAAGCGGCAAACAGCAGCCUCUCAGCGAGCACAUGCGCCCCGACAUUCAGCGCAGCGGGAGUGUGGAGCUGCUGGAGGAUGCGGAGGCGCCAACUGAAGCGAGCGCGAUGCCCACCUCGCACAAGAGGGCUGCGUCGAGCGGCAAGAAAAGGCGCGACGCGUCUCUGCGCCAGCCUUCCUCGUUGAUCCUCAAAGGCAGCACCCGCGACUUAUCCGCUGAUGCCCCGCGCAGCACGACGACAGCGGCAUCGACACAGGCGUCCACCUCUCUGCUGGCGAGCCGCACUACAUUGCCGCUUUCAGCCGUAAACCCAUCCCCAUCGUCUUCGCGGCAGGCAUCGCUGAGGCGGCAGGCAUCUGCUAGCGUCGCCGCCGUCUCCUCCGCACAGGGGUGUGCAGGCCACAGGGGAUCAUCGCCGGUGAUGAAGCGUGCGCAGCGUGUCGCGCUCGAGCUUGGUCUGGAUGUUAUCUGGCACGACGAGGCGGACCACCGCCGCGCGCUUUCUGCGAUGCUGCUGAUCGAGCAUGCGUGGCUGCUCGCCAGCUUUCGGCUGACCAUUGAGGAAGACCAGGAGCGCUACAGCAUCACGUGGCUCGCAGAGGAGCAGGAGAAGUCCGCCGCCCACCCACACCGUUUCAAAGAGGUGAUGCAGGUGAUGAGCAAGAAGUAUCAAUACGGCUUCGUUUGUGACAUGUGCGACUAUGAGUUUCUCCCGACUGGCCCAGGGGAGAAGGACUUGCACUUCUUUCACUGCCCAUGCGGCCGCGACCUGUGCCCAGACUGCUACACAGCGUAUCAGCGGCAGUGCACGUGCUCCUGCUGCCGUGCGGUGCACUCAAACAGCUGUGUGCUGCGGGAGCACCUCUUGCUGACUGGCGGAACUCAGUACUACAGCGGGUCGAGAAAAACGAACGCAGCGGCGCGGGCUGAUGCUGUGCGCGGCUCAUUCCAAGCCGCUGCCAGCCUCAACGAAGAAGCGGAGAGCGGGGAUGAGGCGUCGGCAGCGCCUGAGCCGCCGCGUCGUCGUGGCCGGCCCCCCAAGCAGGACAAGAACCGCUCUGCUGUAAAGCAGAAGGGCAGCCGAGCAGCCAAAGACAGCAGCCGUCGGCGCCGUGGUGCACAGGACACCCUCGACGUGAGUGUGGACGAUGCGCAUGAGUUGGAGCAGAUUAACCUACCUCGAAUUUCAAUCGCUGCGAUGCAGCAACAGGAGGAGCGUAGUAGCAACGGCUCGCACCGCGGCGGCGGGACUGCAGCCGUCGGGGUAGCCCCGCGACCACAACGGCCAGAGGACGUGGAGGUAAAACAGCGACCGGUAGAGAGCGUCCCGGAGGGCCCGUGGCGGCCGUUCGCGCGCUUCAAGAAGGAUCGCCGAGAUGAGGUAGCGCAGCAGCCAACGCCGGAGGAGCGCGACGCGUUGCUGAAUGGGGAGUGGAUUCGACACUUUUACUUGUUUCCGCAAGCUGAGCCGGAGCGCGUUGCUGCCUCCGGGACGUGGGCGGAAGGGGAGGAGGAGCCGUACGCGUUCGUCUAUCACGCGCAGCCGGGCCGCACCGGCGCCAUUUUUCUUACAAGUGACUUUCCGAUGCACUCGGCAGUCUUUUCCAUGCUGGAGCGGCAGUUCUUCGUUGUGAAUCAGGUGGAUACGGUGGAGGGCGUCGACUCCACCCGCGCCACAUCGCUGCUCAAGGCGAAGGGUCACCCGGAGCUCCGGAUCGCUUUCCAUGCGCUGCAGGACAUCGUAGCGUAUGACACAAACAUGAUGAAGCAGCAGCGUACCCCUGGCACCGUCUCCGUGUACCAGGCACCUCGCAGCGCCUACAGCUGCAACGGCGAGCCUUUCCUGUACGUGCGGUGGUUCCGCUUCAACGAGAACCGCACCCUCAGCGCCUUUCUUCUCUCCAACGGCGCCGUUCAGGUCUUCGUAAACAACGAGUACGAGCUGCGGUGGUUCGACGAGAGCCGGAAGUUCCUCAUCCGCUACAACGGCGUGUGCGAGUUGGUCGACGACGGCACUUUUGCACUGGCACCAGGAAUCAAUCAUCUCCUCUACGACUCCUUCGACGCGUAGUCUGGGGUGGUGAGUGUGUGUGUGAGAGAGUGAGUUCCGCAGAUUGCCUUUACGUCGUUUCGAUCACGGGUGCAGAGGUCGUGGAUGCGGAAACAAAAAAGGUUGCCGCGACGUGCCGCGCCGCGAGCUGAUAUGCUUUGUAACUUUAUCCUCCCUCCCGCUGCGUGUGCCGCUUCGCCCUCGCACAGCUGCUUUUUGUUUUUUUUUUUCUUCGCUUCUCUUACCGUUUCGUUUCGCUCUCACUCCGUUUUUCUUCUCCGUGUGCAAGUGCGCGCUAGCCUCCGUGUCUGCGUCCGCCUCGCCGUGCCUUUCGAACCAGCGCGUGUGCGCACCGUGAGAAGCUGUGUGACGGCGCUCAUCGCUCGUAGCCCCACCGUCGGCGUGUGCCGCGACUCUUCGCGAGACUUGCUUCACUCGGCGGACGUCUCUAACAUCAUUCUAACACUGCACACUCACAUGAGAAAACACACACACACACACACACACAAGCGAAUAACACGACAAAGGAUUGGGCGGCGAACAAGACAACAAAACGCCUGCCGGGCAGCCACCCGCCCAUCCAACGGACGGGGACUGCAGCUCUAUUUCUGGCAAAAGGGCAU
rnacentral:misc_RNA from 1 species